AUGUCCCAUACUAUUCUUUAAAUGCAUAUUUGAAGAAUGAAAGCUCCGGCGGUUAUUGAUGGGCAUGCGUGACAUUAGCUAGUUGGUGAGGUAACGGCUCACCAAGGCUACGAUGUCUAGGGGUCCUGAGAGGGUUAACCCCCACACUGGUACUGAGACACGGACCAGACUCCUACGGGAGGCAGCAGUAAGGAAUAUUGGGCAAUGGACGCAAGUCUGACCCAGCCAUGCCGCGUGAAGGAUGAAUGUCCUAUGGAUUGUAAACUUCUUUUAUGCAGGAAAAACAUCCCGGUCGUGAACCGGGACUGAUGGUACUGUAUGAAUAAGCAUCGGCUAACUCCGUGCCAGCAGCCGCGGUAAUACGGAGGAUGCAAGCGUUAUCCGGAUUCAUUGGGUUUAAAGGGUGCGCAGGCGGAAUAAUAAGUCAGUGGUGAAAUCUCCCGGCUCAACCCGGGAAACUGCCAUUGAUACUGCUAUUCUUGAGUACAGUUGAAGUGGGC
rnacentral:rRNA from 1 species